GAGGGUGUAGCUCAGUGGUAGAGAGCAUGCUUAGCAUACAUGAAUGAGGUCCUGGGUUCAACCCCCAGUACCUCCA
rnacentral:tRNA from 1 species